CAUGUGGAUGCCGGGAAUUGAACUCAGGACCUCUGGAAGAACAGUCAAUGCUCCAGCCCUGCUACAGAGUGUUUUAAAUGAGAAAUAUGUUGAGCUGGACUAUACAAAAACCUUGUGCAAGUGAAUAGAAUUUCUGGAAAGAUAAACACACUGAAAGUCCAGAUUCGCCAAGUCUCUACCAGCUACAUAGGCCUUGGGAAGUUAAGGAGAGAAAGAGAUGUUUCAUUUUACCCAAGAGUUGCUCUUCUUCAAGGCACGCCCUCAAAUGCAACAGGCCCGUGGGUGAGAACCUUUCACCCAGACGGUAGCUCAAAUAGUGUCUUUGCAUCUGUGCAAUCUUGAGUAAAAUGCCUGACCAUUCCCUUGACUAGAUCCUGGGGUGUGUGAGUGGAGCCACUUCCUCAAUUCCUGGCAAGCUUGGAGGAGUUAAGGCAUGAAGUAAUUAGUUAACAGGAGUCUUGCAGUAAUAUGUCCAUUUCUUGAAUUUUGGGAACAAGUUUGGUCACUGGGCCAUCCAAUCAAGAGGAAGUGGUCCUGUCCUUGUAGGGGGAGCUCUCCUGUUCUGAGCUACAAUCCCAAAAGCAGCAGCGGGAAUUCUCAGAGGCUAAAACCUCCAUGAGGGAAGGGGAUGGGGCACACAUCCCAGAGUGAAAUAAACAAACAAACCUAUAGCCACCUGAGCUCCACCCAGGACCACCCAGCUGCUCCAGAGGAAGUGGACCCAGCUCUGGAAGGCUAUGAUUUCCUAGGACUUAGCUGUUAUCACUACAAAAAGAAUCACCAUGGGUGACUCUAUAAUGAAUGCGCUUUAAUAAGCAGCAGGUGCUAUUAACCACCAAGCCGUCUCUCCACACCCCUUAAUCCAUUAUCCAAUAAAGUUAUUCACCUUUUACUUUUAGAAA